CGGAGAAAUAAGGAAAUGUAAAUACAAAUAGAAGUGUUGAGUUGUUCAAUUAUAUAUAAGAUUAAUAUAUAAGAUUAGACACAGCCAGAGUGCAACGUGUGUAUUUUUGAGUUUAUUUGGGCUAGUGCUGGCAUUCAUACCGCCAGGGGGAAAUACUCUUACGUUGGCCGAGUUUUUCACGCCCUUUUGUUUAUUACCAUGCUUCCAAAGCAAACAACAGAUCUGCUGCCCAGCGAACUGUGCAAUCAAGUAAGUUGUUAACGUAAGAUCCAAUCGUAGUGACGGAUUAAAUUCUGGGAAACGGACUGAAAUUGCCCCAGUUUUUAUUGGCACGCAGGCAGGGCCUGUGGAAAUUGCCCUGACCAGAAGCAGGCUGCAGUCUAAUGUGUCAUCUGGUCUUUUGUGCGUUUCUUCUAGCUUAGGGAUUUGCAGCACAGGGAAGUCUAAAAACAAACGGGUGGUUUUUAAAGGAGACAUUGACUGUAGGUGUCCAGAAGGGAUUGUUGCAGAAAUCAGAAGGGCCGAGGUUCCCAUGCUUCGCCUCUUGUUUUCUGGGGCCUCCUGUCUUUGGUUUUUAUGCCUGUCUGUUUUCCAGAAAACGUAGACUUUUCCCCAUUCCCUCCACAAACACAGAAUUCCAGGCUCUGCACAAAACUUCAAGCAAGGUACACAGGCGACGAAUAUGUGCAAUUUUAGGUGGUGUCAUCCCAGCUUUAGAACGGGGGGGGGGGGGGGAUGUUUUAAAUUCCGGAUCUAAGCCGCUGUUUCUAGAACAGGUCUGUCCGUGAAGCAGUCGAUUGUUCUUAUGGGUUUUAACAGCCAUUCUUUAUGUCUUCUCCUUGAAAUCAGUGGCAAAACUCUAUAUGGUGCGUGAUGUAGGUCCAAAGUGUCUGCUUUGCCAAAGAGUAAUGGGGGGGGGGGGGGAGAAAUAGCGUAAAAUAGUUCUCAGACUACAUAGAAGGGGGCCGGUUUGGAACUGGGCUUUCAGCCGCCUCUUCUCUGUAUUGAAGCAGUGCAUACGGAUACAGGACUCUUGUACUUAAAAGUACUACGUUACUGCUAAAUUAUCAUCUUUAAUUGUCCUUCUGUUCUGCAGUAGAACUAUGACAUCACAAACAAUGCUGUUACGAUUAGGGAUGUUUAUAGUAUUCUUCUGGUCGGACAUUGGGGGCUUCCAGUUCAUCUGAUCUUUGCAGAACCGCACCCAAGAUGUUGAUGAUCCAUCCAUCCUCCAUCAUUCCUUUGUGUAUUUUGUUUGUCACAAAGUGCAGGCGCUAUUUGCCACCAUUUUCCCCCUCUCCCCUGCCAGCAUUGGUUAUCAAGAGCACACGAGCAUUGCGUGCGUUGGUUCAAGCAUGCAGAAAGAAAUUUUGAUGCGAUAGCACAAUGCACUGGGCUGCGUUGAGCGUCGCAAAAAAUAACCCCUCGGUGACAGGUGAGGCUGUGCCGCGAGAUUGCAUUUUGUUCAGCAUUCUGUGUCCACAGGUAAGGAGCGGAAGAGAGGGCAGGUUGAGAAUCGGGCAAGCUGCAAUUCAAACAAAUGUGAAACUAGUUUUAGCAUUUUUUCAGGCUAAUCUGGAGAGGAUGGCUGAGCAGAAUGUGAAGGCAGAGCCAAAACCCAGUCAAGUUGAAAUGUAAUAGGAAGACGUGUUCACGAAGAGUUUCUGUCUAACUCCCUUAGCUGGAGACAACGAUAGAGAAAAAUGGGAUUCCAUUACAGCUCAGGUGUUAGUACACCUUGUGAGAGAGGAAGGGAGAAGGUGCGCAUGUGAUGCCCUCUAUAGCGACAUCCCUACCCAAAGACUGCUGUAGUCAGAGCAGAUGGAAAGAACUACGUGCCUCCAGAGGUGUUGCUUGAUUGGGGCGGGUGUGGGGGAGGGAUCUGAGAAACUCCCGUGGAGAACUCUCCCUACAGUGGAUUCCAUGGCUGGUGUUUACAUUAACCACAAAAAUAAAACUUGAAGUUCAGAAUCGUGAAUUACUGCCAUGCUCAAGUAAACGGUGACCUUAUUUCCUGAGAACUAGAAGCUGGCUGGACUGCAUUCCGAGCAUCAUUCAAACUAAUCAUCUAAUUAGUAUUUAAUGACUUAUGGCAACUACAUCUGCUCUAUUUGGAAGGAGUGGUUGAAAGUUAGAUUUUCCGCUCUUGUUGUAAUUGCUAGUAAUUGGAACCCUGUAUGUGGUGGCUCUGCUCCUGUGAGGUUAUCUCGCCAAAGGUUCGCCACCACGGGGCUAAGGGAAAGCACGGGGUAUCUCUCUGAGCUCUCUUGCGUUCCUCCAAAAAAAAGCCCUCUCUUCAAAUUACCCACAGAGUACCUGCUUUGCUCCUACAGAGGAGUAACGAAGGACAGAGAUGUGUAUGAGAGAAGACAGCAUUAAAUAGAGCCUGAAACAGAAAAUCCAGACUCUAUUUGCACUGUGGUGCUUGCCUUCUCACUACUGCCUGGCAAAAUUUCUGACUAAGGCUUUCAGGAUUAAUAUGCAGCCAUUAGCUAAUAAACUGCAAAUAAACCUUUACUUAAUUGAGUUUGAGUAUAGUACUUGAUGGUUCCCCUCCUUGUUGGCAUACCAUCUCCCUUCCUUUCAAGCUAAUACAGUAUAUGCACUGCCUACAGAUAAAACUCUAGGACACAGGUGUCAGACUCGUGGUCCUCCAGAUGAUAUGGACUACAAUUCCCAUCACCCCCUGCCAGCACCAUGCUGGCAGGGGCUGAUGAGAACUGUAGUCCAUAGCAUGUGGAGGGCCGCGAGUUUGACACCUGUGCUGGAAGUUGUGCUCCUUUUUAAUUUGACUGAACAGGAGCAAGUCCUGAUCAGCAAUUCCAAAACAAAAUUACGGCCACAAAGGAUAGGUGUUCUGUUCAGGCUUCCAUUCCAGUUGCAUCACACAAAUGCAGAUAGGCUGAAGGAACGAAUUCACACGCUGUGACUUGUAUGUUGCCUGCUGUUAUUACUGGAUAACAGUGCUAUUAAAACACUAAAACAUUAAAACACAGAUUCCCAGCCUAAUGCAUGAUACACAUAUGAUCAAAUAUAACAAUUUUUAAUAACGUAUGAACUCAUCCAGAAUCUAUCUGUAGCAAGGGGUUAGUAAAAAGUUAGUAAUUUUUUUUGGUGAGGGGGGUGGUUUAAAGAAGAAAAAACAGGGUAUAAGUUCAAAGAUACAUCAAGGAUAGCUUAGAAGUACUAAGUGUUUUUUUUCCUUAGUCUGCAACUGCCAUGGUAGUCUUUACCAGGACGUCUCAAAGGGAAUCUUUUCAUUUGGUUAUUGCAUUCUGUCCAAAAACGCAGUUCUGUCUUAACCCAUAAUUUUACAGCAAGGCUGCUUUCUCCAAAGAAAACCCUCCAAAGCUUGUAAUUUCCUUAGCAUAACCUUACUGAGGGAUAUCUACCAAAAGAAUAGUUUCUUUCACAUGGGCAGCCGUAUCCUUGGCUUCAUUACUGUCCACUUGUGAGCUGGCAGCUCAUUGGUUGAGCUGGCUGCGUUGGAAAAACUCAUGUUGGCAGUAAAAUGCCAAUUCCUCCUGUGGUGGCUCACCUUUGCCCGCAAGUCGUCACUUGAUGGCAUCAUCUAGUGUUGAGCAUGCCUGUGCGAGUCGGGUUUUAAAAGAUGUGCCUCAACCGCCUUCCUUUGUUCGCCCCUAAAAACGCAGCAUGACUUACGCAGAGCUGCGGAACACUUUUUUAAAAAUUCUUUUUUAACACAGAGGUUUCUAGAACUCCAGUUUAGUACCAUCAACCAAAAGCAAAUUCUCUAAUCCGCUUAUCCUGUUAAAAGUUCGUCACAUUAAAGAAAAAGAAAAAAAAUCAGCAGGUACCUUUUUCUGGAAUUUCAUUCUUGACUAUCUAGUGAGAAGAGCUGGGAAUUGAGAUGGCCUUAAAAGCAUUCUCCAUAGAUGCUGAAAAUAGGUAGCUGGUUGAAAUAAUCCCUCCACCCGUACACACCCUUCAGCAGCUUACUUACGCGUUGAAAAGCCAUAAAUAUCUUGGGCAUAACUCCUCUAAGAGAAGCCCGGGUCCCAAUGAGCACAGACUGUGUCUGCUUACCACUUCUGCUUGGCUUAGUAAUUUAUAGACACGCUUUUUGAAUCUCUGUUCUACCUUUAUUAAGGCCAAACUGCUUCUGCCUUUUUGGGACUAGCUAGCCUUGCCCUGUCCAAAUGGCAAUCGCUGACAGCUGGUUCAGCCCCACGGAACGCUACAGCAGUGUUUGGAAGGGGGGGCUCUUCCGUGGGCUCGGGCAUCAGCCCCGUGACUGGGACAGAGCUUUUCAUGUCAUUAAAAACCUUACAGAUGAUCGCUUGAGUUGGGGAGUAGUGUUCGGAGGCACGUUUUUCAUUCAUUGUGCUGGCGAAUGUUGUUUUUUACCCUGUGCGCGCUGGGUUGCCGUGAGCGAUUAAUUGAAGAGGGGCCCUGGCUCAUAAUUAUGACUUAAGACAUCAGGCUGUCAGCGGCGCGGUUUCUGAUGACCACUGGCCUGGGGGGUGACUCUGCUGAUAUAGCCAAUCUGUCUUUUAAAUGUUGCUAUUCAUAGGGGAUGUUGACCUGUCAACCUGCUUCUAGUCACUUUCCUAAAAUUUAUAAUUAUUUUUCUUUUCUUUUGAAAUAUUAAAAGGGCAAGAAAUCAGCCUUGUGGACUGGGAAAGCGUCCAGCUCUCUCUGAGCUGGUAUCCUGCAUAUAUAAUUUUUAAAGGUUUAAAAAGACUAUUGUAUAUAAAAAAUAAAGAAUGUCUUUAAAAGAAAAA